rnacentral:rRNA from 1 species
AGGCGACGACGGGUAGCCGGCCUGAGAGGGCGACCGGCCACACUGGGACUGAGACACGGCCCAGACUCCUACGGGAGGCAGCAGUGGGGAAUAUUGGGCAAUGGAGGAAACUCUGACCCAGCGACGCCGCGUGCGGGAUGAAGGCCUUCGGGUUGUAAACCGCUUUCAGUAGGGAAGAAGCGAAAGUGACGGUACCUACAAAAGAAGCACCGGCUAACUAUGUGCCAGCAGCCGCGGUAAUACAUAGGGUGCAAGCGUUGUCCGGAAUUAUUGGGCGUAAAGAGCUCGUAGGUCGUUUGUUACGUCGGAUGUGAAAACCUGAGGCUCAACCUCAGGCCUGCAUUCGAUACGGGCAAACUAGAGUUUGGUAGGGGAGACUGGAAUUCCU